rnacentral:other from 1 species
AUCGUGCUGCGGAGUACGUGAAUGCGGCUUUAUCUCGGUGGUCGAUGCUUUUCGCAUAGGGAGCUGUCCCUGACUUUACCCACCAGUUCGGCUGUAGGGGAUUGAUAUAUGGCGCCCACCUAAUACUUUAGGACCCCGCGAAGAUACCAUACGCACACGGCUUUUGCGGCACACUU